CAGAAGGUAGUUUAUUUAAAAUGCCAGUUUUGGGGGCUGGUGAAGUGAGUCAAGUCUUAUCCUUUUGA
rnacentral:tRNA from 1 species